rnacentral:rRNA from 1 species
CAGCAGUCGCCGCGGUAAUACAGAGGGUGCGAGCGUUAAUCGGAUUUACUGGGCGUAAAGCGUGCGUAGGCGGCUAAUUGAGUCGGAUGUGAAAUCCCCGAGCUUAACUUGGGAAUUGCAUUCGAUACUGGUUAGCUAGAGUGUGGGAGAGGAUGGUAGAAUUCCAGGUGUAGCGGUGAAAUGCGUAGAGAUCUGGAGGAAUACCGAUGGCGAAGGCAGCCAUCUGGCCUAACACUGACGCUGAGGUACGAAAGCAUGGGGAGCAAACAGGAUUAGAUACCCCCGUAGUCCCUGUCUCUUAUAC